rnacentral:rRNA from 1 species
CCGGCCACACUUGGGACUGAGACACGGCCCAUAUCCUACGGGAGGCAGCAGUGGGGAAUAUUGCACAAUGGGCGAAAGCCUGAUGCAGCGACGCCGCGUGAGGGAUGACGGCCUUCGGGUUGUAAACCUCUUUCAGCAGGGAAGAAGCGAAAGUGACGGUACCUGCAGAAGAAGCGCCGGCUAACUACGUGCCAGCAGCCGCGGUAAUACGUAGGGCGCAAGCGUUGUCCGGAAUUAUUGGGCGUAAAGAGCUCGUAGGCGGCUUGUCGCGUCGGUUGUGAAAGCCCGGGGCUUAACCCCGGGUCUGCAGUCGAUACGGGCAGGCUAGAGUUCGGUAGGGGAGAUCGGAAUUCCUGGUGUAGCGGUGAAAUGCGCAGAUAUCAGGAGGAACACCGGUGGCGAAGGCGGAUCUCUGGGCCGAUACUGACGCUGAGGAGCGAAAGCGUGGGGAGCGAACAGGAUUAGAUACCCUGGUAGUCCACGCCGUAAACGGUGGGCA